UACGUAGGGUGCGAGCGUUAAUCGGAAUUACUGGGCGUAAAGCGUGCGCAGGCGGUUCGUUAAGUCAGAUGUGAAAGCCCCGGGCUCAACCUGGGAACUGCAUUUGAAACUGGCGGGCUUGAGUGUGGCAGAGGGGGGUGGAAUUCCGCGUGUAGCAGUGAAAUGCGUAGAGAUGCGGAGGAACACCGAUGGCGAAGGCAGCCCCCUGGGCCGACACUGACGCUCAGGCACGAAAGCGUGGGGAGCAAACAGG
rnacentral:rRNA from 1 species